GGGCCUGUAGCUCAGUUGGUUAGAGCGCAUCCCUGAUAAGGAUGAGGUCCGUGGUUCGACUCCACGCAGGCCCA
rnacentral:tRNA from 1 species